rnacentral:rRNA from 1 species
UACGUAGGUGGCAAGCGUUGUCCGGAAUCACUGGGCGUAAAGCGCGCGCAGGCGGCGAUCUACGUCUGGGGUGAAAGCCCGGAGCUCAACUCCGGGACUGCCUUGGAUACGGGAUCGCUUGAGGAUUGGAGAGGCGGGUGGAAUUCCGAGUGUAGAGGUGAAAUUCGUAGAUAUUCGGAAGAACACCAGUGGCGAAGGCGGCCCGCUGGACAAGUAUUGACGCUGAGGUGCGAAAGCGUGGGGAGCAAACAGG